GACGAAGGUGGCGAGCGUUGUUCGGAAUCACUGGGCAUAAAGCGCACGUAGGCGGCGACGUAAGUUGGGUGUGAAAUCCCCCGGCCCAACCGGGGAACUGCGCCCAGUACUGCGUUGCUUGAGGAUCCAAGGGGUGCAUGGAAUUCCCGGUGGAGCGGUGAAAUGCGUUGAUAUCGGGAGGAACUCCGGCGGCGAAAGCGGUGCACUGGUGGAUUACUGACGCUGAGGUGCGAAAGCCAGGGGAG
rnacentral:rRNA from 1 species